rnacentral:rRNA from 1 species
AGUGAACGCUGGCGGUAGGCCUAACACAUGCAAGUCGAACGACAGCACAGUAAGAGCUUGCUCUUACGGGUGGCGAGUGGCGGACGGGUGAGGAAUACAUCGGAAUCUACUUUUUCGUGGGGGAUAACGUAGGGAAACUUACGCUAAUACAGCAUACGACCUACGGGUGAAAGCAGGAGAUCUUCGGACCUUGCGCGAUUGAAUGAGCCGAUGUCGGAUUGGCUAGUUGGCGGGGUAAAGGCCCACCAAGGCGACGAUCCGUAGCUGGUCUGAGAGGAUGAUCAGCCACACUGGAACUGAGACACGGUCCAGACUCCUACGGGAGGCAGCAGUGGGGAAUAUUGGACAAUGGGCGCAAGCCUGAUCCAGCAAUACCGCGUGGGUGAAGAAGGCCUUCGGGUUGUAAAGCCCUUUUGUUAGGAAAGAAAAGCAGCAGGUUAAUACCCCGCUGUUCUGACGGUACCCAAAGAAUAAGCACCGGCUAACUUCGUG